AUAGAUGGCUAUAUGACCCUGAAUGCACCUGAUCUUGUUUGAUCUUGGAAGAUAAGCAGGAUCUGACCUGGUUAGAACUUGGAUGGGAGACUAUGGCUAAAAGUAAACUUUUAUG
rnacentral:rRNA from 1 species